GGAUAUGGGACGCCACAGCAAACAAAUACAAUUUAAUCUCCAAUCCGUCACCACUGAUCCCUCUGCUCAGAAAUAGAGCCUUCCCUCCGGGUAUGGUGGCCAGGGAUUUUGCCAACCUAGAAACUGCAGGCCUAAAGAGGAUCUGCCACAUGUAUAGGGACAAUACGCCAGUCACAUUUAACGACCUACAACAGACUACAC